rnacentral:rRNA from 1 species
GAUGAACGCUGGCGGCGUGCCUAAUACAUGCAAGUCGAGCGAACAGAUGAGGAGCUUGCCCCUCUGACGUUAGCGGCGGACGGGUGAGUAACACGUGGAUAACCUACCUAUAAGACUGGGAUAACUACGGGAAACCGGAGCUAAUACCGGAUAAUAUAUUGAACCGCAUGGUUCAAUAGUGAAAGACGGUUUUGCUGUCACUUAUAGAUGGAUCCGCGCCGCAUUAGCUAGUUGGUAAGGUAACGGCUUACCAAGGCAACGAUGCGUAGCCGACCUGAGAGGGUGAUCGGCCACACUGGAACUGAGACACGGUCCAGACUCCUACGGGAGGCAGCAGUAGGGAAUCUUCCGCAAAGGGCGAAAGCCUGACGGAGCAACGCCGCGUGAGUGAUGAAGGUCUUCGGAUCGUAAAACUCUGUUAUUAGGGAAGAACAAAUGUGUAAGUAACUAUGCACGUCUUGACGGUACCUAAUCAGAAAGCCACGGCUAACUACGUG